AACUGCGAAGAACUCGUACAAGUUCCGAUCGGACUUGCCGAUAUACAGAGCCUCCAAUUUUUGGAAUUGAACUGUUCGAACUUUGCAGCUGCCUCUGCAAAAAAAAUCCGCAAUAUAAAGAAGCAACAGGUCAGCAUAUUCAAGCUCUCCGUUUUUCCACCUCUUGAUGAGUGAUCGCCCGUAACGGUUCUACUGGAUAUGAGAUGUAUCUAAUAAAGCUGCAAGGGAAGAUUACGGAGGAUGUGUGAUAUGCAUUGAGAUGUUUUCGGAUAUAUCCUACGUGGUCAAGCUUGCUUGAAUAAGUGUUUCAUGACUUUCAUUUCUGUAUUUUUCAUUACAAUUGUUCAAAUGUUGUUUAUUUAUUGCCCUCCAUGUGUGUUACCGUAUGCCAUUUCUGAGUCGUAUUUACUUUUGUUGUUUGAUUUUAAUGAUACGCCUUGUAUUGAUUUUUGAGUGAACCACUGUGUGUAAUGUUAUUCCAUGAGUGUUAAA